GUCGUUUUCCUUGCCAUCAGGGGAGAGCGUGGAGCAGCAGGAGAACUGUCUUUCGGAUACAGCUGCCCAGAAUGGGUUCUCCGGGCAGCUCUGGACACUGCAGCAUGUGAUCAGGUGUCAUCCCCUGCAUCAGUGCUCUGUCCUGCUUGUACCAGCAGUUUCACCUGUGCUGCAACGCCGGAGCCUCAGGA